CAUGUCCUUUUGAAAUUGAUUUAAGGUCUAAUCUGCUCAAUGAUUAUUUAAAUAGCCGCGGUAUUUUGACUGUGCAAAGGUAGCAUAAUAAAUAGCUUCUUUAUUGGAAGCUGGUAUGAAUGAUUGGACGAGAAAAUAGCUGUCUCUAGCUUAAUUAAUGAAUUUAACUUUUAAGUGAAAAGGCUUAAAUUAAUUUAAAAGACGAGAAGACCCUAUAGAGUUUGAUUUAUUUCUGAUUUUUUUUGUUAAGGAAUUUAUUUAAUUUAGUCAGUAAAAAUUUAGUUGGGGUGAUUUUAAGAUUUACAAAACUCUUAAUUUAUUUUUCAUUGAUUUAUGAAUAAUGAAUCUAUAAUUUUUAAGAUAAAAAUUAAUUACCUUAGGGAUAACAGCGUAAUUUUACUUGAGAGUUCUUAUUUAGAGUAAAGUUUGCGACCUCGAUGUUGGAUUAAAAUUAAUUAUUGGUGCAGUAGCUAGUAAAUUAAGUCUGUUCGACUUUUAAAAUUUUACAUGAUCUGAGU
rnacentral:rRNA from 1 species